rnacentral:rRNA from 1 species
CCUACGGGUGGCAGCAGUGAGGAAUAUUGGUCAAUGGCCGGAAGGCUGAACCAGCCAAGCCGCGUGAGGGAGGAAGGUGCCGAGCGUCGCAGACCUCUUAUGCCGGGGGACAAAAGGCCGGUCUCGUCCGGUACUGAGGGUACCCGGAGAAAAAGCAUCGGCUAACUCCGUGCCAGCAGCCGCGGUAAUACGGAGGAUGCGAGCGUUAUCCGGAUUCAUUGGGUUUAAAGGGUGCGUAGGCGGAAUGCCAAGUCAGCGGUAAAAGCCCGGGGCUCAACCUCGCUCCGCCGUUGAAACUGGCGGUCUUGAGUAGUCGAGAAGUAUGCGGAAUGCGUGGUGUAGCGGUGAAAUGCAUAGAUAUUACGCAGAACUCCGAUUGCGAAGGCAGCAUACCGGCGGCCAACUGACGCUGAAGCACGAAAGCGUGGGUAUCGAACAGGAUUAGAUACCCGGGUAGUC